AUGAACGCUGGCGGCGUGCCUCAUACAUGCAAGUCGAGCGAACAGACGAGGAGCUUGCUCCUCUGACGUUAGCGGCGGACGGGUGAGUAACACGUGGAUAACCUACCUAUAAGACUGGGAUAACUUCGGGAAACCGGAGCUAAUACCGGAUAAUAUAUUGAACCGCAUGGUUCAAUAGUGAAAGACGGUUUUGCUGUCACUUAUAGAUGGAUCCGCGCCGCAUUAGCUAGUUGGUAAGUUAACGGCUUACCAAGGCAACGAUGCGUAGCCGACCUGAGAGGGUGAUCGGCCACACUGGAACUGAGACACGGUCCAGACUCCUACGGGAGGCAGCAGUAGGGAAUCUUCCGCAAUGGGCGAAAGCCUGACGGAGCAACGCCGCGUGAGUGAUGAAGGUCUUCGGAUCGUAAAACUCUGUUAUUAGGGAAGAACAAAUGUGUAAGUAACUAUGCACGUCUUGACGGUACCUAAUCAGAAAGCCACGGCUAACUACGUG
rnacentral:rRNA from 1 species